GACCCGCCGGAAAGCCCAAAUGCUUCAAGCCAAAAGGCCCAGCGGGCGACACUUCACCGAUAUCGGGAAAUACAGGAUGAAGGAGAAAGCAAAGAACAGGAAGACAGGGAAAAAUCCAGUAGGUAGCGAUCUAAGAGAGAGGAAAGGCAUUCACAUGUACUUUAAAUGUUUCACAAAUACUAGAAUUAAUAAUCACGUUUGGAAGUGUAUUCCACAGUUUGACUGUCGCUGGGAUGAAACACCGGGAAAAUUGUGAUGUAUUGCAUCGGUCGACAGACAAGGAACGGUCAUUUAUGGCCGUGUUCUUAAACACUUUGUCGCUCAAGCACACAUAUUUGAAAAGGCUUUUGCAGAAUUUUGGGGCAUUUCCAGUGGUAGUUUAACCCGUCUGCUGCAAUUGGAACGACUUUGGCUCUCACUGGUAGCCUGAUAAUAUACAGUCCCAGGUCUUUCUCUGCCUCUGUGGUGGAUAGUGGAGUGUUUCCCAUGUGGUACUGGUAUGCUGGAUAUCCCUUCACUGGUCGCCUGAUAAUAUACAGUCCCAGGUCUUUCUCUGCUUCUGUGGUGGAUAGUGGAGUGUUUCCCAUGUGGUACUGGUAUGCUGGAUAUCCCUUCACUGGUCGCCUGAUAAUAUACAGUCCCAGGUCUUUCUCUGCCUCUGUGGUGGAUAGUAGAGUGUUUCCCAUGUGGUACUGGUAUGCUGGAUAUCCCUUCACUGGUCGCCUGAUAAUAUACAGUCCCAGGUCUUUCUCUGCCUCUGUGGUGGAUAGUGGAGUGUUUCCCAUGUGCUAUUGGUGUGCUGGAUAUCCCUUCACUGGUAGCCUGAUAAUAUACAUUCCCAGGUCUUUCUCUGCCUCUGUGGUGGAUAGUGUAAUGUUUCCCAUGUGGUAUUGGUGUGCUGGAUAUCCAUUCACUGGUAGCCUGGUAACAUACACUUCCAGGUCUUUCUCUGCCUUUGUGGUGGAUAGUGGAGUGUUUCCCAUGUGGUAUUGGUGUGCUGGACACCCCUUCAUUGGUAGCCUGAUAACAUUCAGUCCCAAGUUUUCCUCUGCCUCUGUGGUGGAUAGUGGAGUGUUUCCCAUGUGGUAUUGGUGUGCUGAAUAUCCCUUCACUGGUAGCCUGGUAACAUACACUCCCAGGUCUUUCUCUACCUCUGUGAUGGAUAGUGGAGUGUUUCCCAUUUGGUACUGGUAUGCUGGAUAUCGCUUCACUGUUAGCCUGGUAGCAUACACUCCCAGGUCUUCCUCUGCCUCUGUGGUGGAUAGUGGAGUGUUUCCCAUGUAGUACUGGUAUGCUGGAUAUCCCUUCACUGGUAGCCUGAUAACAUACAGUCCCAUGUCUUUUUCUGCCUCUGUGGUGGAUAGUGGAGUGUUUGCCAUGUGGUAUUGGUGUGCUGGAUAUCCCCUCCCAAGGUGCAGGACCUUACAUUUUUCUUCAUGGAAUUGUAGCAGCCACUAUAUGUUCCAUUCCUGUAGCUUGGUGAGGUCUUGAGGUAGGAAAUUCGCAGUCAAGAGGUUAAUGACCCUGGUGAUAGUCUGACCCUUCCUCUAUGCCGUGAACCUAAAAAAAAACACUCAUUAGAAUCCGACUGAUCUCCUUUUCGGGCUUUGGAAAUAGCUGGUGUGGGAAGGGUCAGUGAAUACCGAGUUUAGCCCAAAGGAGUGUCGUGAUGGUUGUGAGAGAGCAGGCAGACGACGGUGCAAUGGGUGGUCGAUAUUAGACAUAAUUUUGAAAAAAAUAAGACAAUGAUCCCACCAAGCGACGAUGCCGAAGAUUAAUCUCGAGAUUCGGAAGAAGAAAUUUAAUUUGGUUGAACACUCUCUCCAACAGCUUUAACCCGGUAGCAGAGACGGGCCAAAUUUGUGGCUUUACCGUGUAGCAGCGACGGGCCAAAUUUGUGGCUUUACCGUGUAGCAGCGACGGGCCAAAUUUGUGGCUUUACCGUGUAGCAACGACGGGCCAAAUUUGUGGCUUUACCGUGUAGCAACGACGGGCCAAAUUUGUGGCUUUACCGUGUAGCAGCGACGGGCCAAAUUUGUGGCUUUACCGUGUAGCAACGACGGGCCAAAUUUGUGGCUUUACCGUGUAGCAACGACGGGCCAAAUUUGUGGCUUUACCGUGUAGCAACGACGGGCCAAAUUUGUGGCUUUACCGUGUAGCAACGACGGGCCAAAUUUGUGGCUUUACCGUGUAGCAACGACGGGCCAAAUUUGUGGCUUUACCGUGUAGCAACGACGGGCCAAAUUUGUGGCUUUACCGUGUAGCAACGACGGGCCAAAUUUGUGGCUUUACCGUGUAGCAACGACGGGCCAAGUUUGUGCCAUGAUAUAAACAACCCAAAAUAUAUGAUACAUAAUCGGAUCACAAAUGCUUUAAUAUAUAUUAUGAAAUGGUUUGUGUGAGGGGUGAUUUUUUUCUCUUUUUUUCUCGUCUGGAGGGACCAUUAAGAAACAUGAUCCCCGCUGCUACCACCACCGGGUUAAGUUAAACUCAGCUGCAG